CUCAACUUCUAUGAGAUUGGUAAAAUAUCGUAGCGACUUCGUGCAUUUGAAAAUAUAUCACAAAAAUCACACAGCCUGGCACAAGCACUUGGUGCUAGGAUGACAAUAUGAGAACAAACGAAACCAACAAGAAGGCCAACAGACAAAAGUCACAUUCUGUCUAAACAAACCUUUCAUCUUCAUAUUUUUCAAUUG